GAGCUCUAACGUCAUGGUGGCGAGCUCUGAUGUCACUCUAGCAAGCUCCAACGUCAUUGCGGCAGACUCUGACGUCAUCGCGGCAAGCUAUGACGUCAUCACAGCGGACUGUGAUGUCAUCACAGUGAGCUCUGACAUCAUCACAGCGAGCUCUGACAUCAUCACAGCGAGCUCUGACAUCAUGGUGAGCUCUGACAUCAUCACAGCGAGCUCUGACAUCAUGGUGGUGAGCUCCGAUGUCACCGCAGCGAGCUCUGACAUCACGGCGGUGAGCCGUGACGUCACACCUGCGAGCUCUGACCUCACCGCGGCACCCACCAUGCCCACGGCGAGCUCUGACAUCAUUGUGGCAAACUGACAUCACCACUGCGAGCUCUGAUGUCACCACGGCAUCAUUACGACAUCUGCCACACCUGUAGCAAGCUCUGAUGUCACCGUGGUGCCCGCGGCCACCUCUGACAUCACUGCAGUGACCUCUGAUGUCACCACAACACCCACGGCGAGCUCUGACAUCACUGGACGUUGCGGCAACGCCCGCGGCGAGCUCUGAUGUCACCGUGACGUCACCGCAACACCCAUGGCAAGCUCUGACAUCAUUGUGACAUCACCACGAUGUCCGCCAUCCCCACGGAGAGCUCUGACAUCACGGUGACAUCACCACAACAUCAGCAACGCCCACAGAGAGCUCUGACGUCACGGUGACAUCAUCAAGACGCGCAC
ensembl:lncRNA